GAUGAACGCUGGCGGCGUGCCUAAUACAUGCAAGUCGAGCGAACGGACGAGAAGCUUGCUUCUCUGAUGUUAGCGGCGGACGGGUGAGUAACACGUGGAUAACCUACCUAUAAGACUGGGAUAACUUCGGGAAACCGUAGCUAAUACCGGAUAAUAUUUUGAACCGCAUGGUUCAAAAGUGAAAGACGGUCUUGCUGUCACUUAUGGCUGGAUCCGCGCUGCAUUAGCUAGUUGGUAAGGUAACGGCUUACCAAGGCAACGAUGCAUAGCCGACCUGAGAGGGUGAUCGGCCACACUGGAACUGAGACACGGUCCAGACUCCUACGGGAGGCAGCAGUAGGGAAUCUUCCGCAAUGGGCGAAAGCCUGACGGAGCAACGCCGCGUGAGUGAUGAAGGUCUUCGGAUCGUAAAACUCUGUUAUUAGGGAAGAACAUAUGUGUAAGUAACUGUGCACAUCUUGACGGUACCUAAUCAGAAAGCCACGGCUAACUACGUG
rnacentral:rRNA from 1 species